AAGAACUUAAGUUAAUAUAAACUUCAGACCUUCAAAGUCUGUAUUAGAUACAAAUAUCUAGAUCUUA
rnacentral:tRNA from 1 species